CCUACGGGUGGCAGCAGUGGGGAAUAUUGCACAAUGGGCGGAACCCUGAUGCAGCGACGCCGCGUGGGGGAAGAAGCGCCUCGGCGCGUAAAGCCCUGUCAGCAGGGAAGAAAAUGACGGUACCUGAAGAAGAAGCCCCGGCGAAAUACGUGCCAGCAGCCGCGGUAAUACGUAGGGGGCAAGCGUUAUCCGGAUUUACUGGGUGUAAAGGGGGCGCAGACGGCGAUGCAAGCCUGGAGUGAAAGCCCGGGGCCCAACCCCGGGACUGCUCUGGGAACUGAGUGGCUGGAGUGCAGGAGGGGCAAGCGGAAUUCCUGGUGUAGCGGUGAAAUGCGUAGAUAUCAGGAAGAACACCGGUGGCGAAGGCAGCCUGCUGG
rnacentral:rRNA from 1 species